GCUCGCAUUGAUUACGUCCCUGCCCUUUGUACACACCGCCCGUCGCACCUACCGAUUGAAUGUUUCGGUGAAGAUUCCGGACCGCGACGCCAGAGCGCUUCACGGCGCCCUGGUCGUGGGAAGUUGUCUAAACCUCAACAUUUAGAGGAAGGUGAAGUCGUAACAAGGUUUCCGUAGGUGAACCUGCGGAAGGAUCAUUACCCAUCACUCGCGAUCGCAAUUCACCCGUCGGGAGCGAGCGACCGAGCAAGCGCGAGGCUGAGCCUAUAUGCUGCCCGGUUUUUCGUCCCCGGGUGCGAUGAACGAGAGCGAGUGGGCGGAGCUUUGUCUCUGUUCACUCGUGAACGAACCUUCUCAUUUCCAGUGUGGCAGACUUGGGUGCUUCCGCGGUACUGGAGUGGGGAGGCUCGGGAGCGCCCGCAACCCUCUUCGGAUGGGACCGCCUUGUCGGGGCGGGAGGGCCCGAGGUAGUUGUAUUGCAUUCCCCGCGCGCUUUGCGCGUUGUGUGCGUUGCACUGCACUCCUCGCGAAAGGUUCCUAUGGCUUGCUCGGUCGGUUGCUUCGUGCGCCAGAUCGAGCAAUUUGAGUCUCGUCCUCUUUAUUCGCUACUCGUUCUCGCUCGAGUUGGGUUGGGGAAGAAGAGGGACGGGGCGAAAAGGUUUAAAGUCCCAGUAUUAUGUCGUAAAGGUGGCGCCUUGGGUUUAUUGUCGGGUCGGUAUUCGGUCGUUGGCGGCCCCGGGCGGGCCUAUGCGGCACGUUGGCGCGGUGUGUGUCUCGUGUGCUGGUGGUGGGCUUCGCGUCUCGCUUCUGGUACGCACUACCAUCCAUCGCGUCCAGCGAACCAUUACCAGUUUUCUGAUCUCGACUCUGUGGGAAGGGGGCCGAUGUGGCUUCCGCAUGGGCCUCCAUUCUGUACCGUUCGAACCCAACUUCCUAUAAAACUUACAGCGACGGAUGUCUUGGCUCCCACCACGAUGAACACGCACCAAAAUGCGAUACGUCUUGCGACUUGCAGAAUCUCGUGAAUCAUCGAAACUUCGAACGCAUCUUGCGCUCCCGGGAUAUGCCUGGGAGCAUGCUUGUCGGGGAGGAGGAGGCGAAAACUCGCCCACAGCUUUGGGUUCGAUCUCGACCUCAAGGCGGUGGAGCGGAAUAUGAGUGUUCCGGGGAGCGGUAGUGCGGUGUGUAUUUUUGUAUAUGCCUCCUGCUCGUCCCCUGAGUCCACCCAAGCCUAGAGAGCUACCGAUUGUCCGGGCCUCAUUGCCUUUGCGGCGCUGUAGACAGGUCCACCUUGCGUCCUCCGGAAGAUCCGCUGUUGAUACCUUCGCAACCUCGCCCCCUCUCGCGGGGCGGGGCAGGGCGAAGGAGACACUGACGCCGGGGAUGUGCGCGGGUUACCUUGAGGCGUCGCAGGAGGCAAGUUCACCUUGCGUCCUCCGGAGGAUCCGUUGUUGGCGGCGCCCCCUAUCGCGGGGCGGGGACACAACGGGUCGCCGGGGAUGUGCGCGGGUGUCCUUGAGGCUUGGGACGGUAGGUAGUCUCGAGAGUACCGGUGAGAGGCCGGUGAUUAUGAUUAUGCCAUACCCCCGAUCAAGCAAGAAGACCCGCUGAAUUUAAGCAUAUAACUAAGCGGAGGAAAAGAAACUAACUAGGAUUCCCCCAGUAACGGCGAGUGAAGCGGGAA
rnacentral:rRNA from 1 species